UCUUCAUAUUAUUUAUUAGUAAAUUUGUUGUGGGUCAAAUAGGUGCUGGGAGCGGCGAACGGGUUAGUAACACACAGGUACAUGCCGUCGAGAUGAGGAUAGCCAUCCGAAAGGGUGGGUAAUACUCAAUAGUCUCCGACAUUAUGUUGGAGUAAAGGAGCAAUCCGCUCGGCGAUUGGCCUAUGUCCUAUCAGCUUGUUGGUAAGGUAAUGGCUUACCAAGGCAAUGACGGGUAGGGGGUGUGAGAGCACGGCCCCCAACAUCGGCACUGAGACACUGGCCGGACUCCUACGGGAGGCUGCAGUCGAGAAUCUUCCGCAAUGGGCGAAAGCCUGACGGAGCGACGCUGCGUGCGGGAAGAAGGUCUUCGGAUCGUAAACCGCUUUUCUGUCUGAAUAAGGACGGUUGGAUUUUGUUUUUCACAUUAUUUUAAAGAUAAUUAAUGGUGAAUUAGUAAUAUGUGGAAAAUAAUAUCCAUCCGUUUUGAAAGUAGGGCAGGAAUAAGGGGCCGCUAAACUCGUGCCAGCAGCGGCGGUAAUACGAGUGCCCCAAGCGUUAUCCGGAUUAACUGGGCGUAAAGCGUCUGUAGGCGGCCUAUUAAGUUUUUGGUUAAAUCUUUUGGCUCAACCAAAAGCAUGCCGAAAAAACUGGUAGGCUAGAGGAAAUGAGAGGCUGACGGAACUGGUGGUGUAGGAGUGACAUCCGUUGAUAUCACCAGGAACACCAAAGGCGAAGGCAGUCAGCUGGUAUUUUCCUGACGCUGAGAGACGAAAGCGUGGGGAGCGAAUGGGAUUAGAUACCCAAGUAGUCCACGCCCUAAACGAUGUUGACUAGCUAUUCCGAGUGUCGACCCUCGAAGUGGCGAAGCUAACGCGUUAAGUCAACCGCCUGGGAAGUACGGCCGCAAGGCUAAAACUCAAAGGAAUAGACGGGAGCUCGCACAAGCGGUGGAGCGUCUGGUUUAAUUCGAUGAUAAGCGAGGAACCUUACCGAGACUUGAAAUUCCACUGAAAUCCUGGUGAAAGCCGGGACCUUCGCAAGAACAGUGGAGUCAGGUACUGCAUGGUUGCCGUCAGCUCGUGCCUUGAGGUGUUCCGUUAAGUCGGGUAACGAGCGCAACCCCUGUCGUCUGUUAUAAGUUUCAGACGAGACUGCCCUCGUUAAAGGGGAGGAAGGAGGGGAUGACGUCGAAUCAGCAUGGUCCUUUGAUGUCUCGGGCUACACAGGCGCUACAAUGGUUGGUACAGUGGGUUGCCAAGCGGUAACGCGGAGCUAAUCCCAUCAAAACCAAUCUCAGUCCGGAUUGAGGUCUGCAAUUCGACCUCAUGAAGUUGGAAUCGCUAGUAAUCGCGGAUCAGCUCGCCGCGGUGAAUACGUUCUCGAGCUU
rnacentral:rRNA from 1 species